CCCUUAGAUGUUCUGGGCCGCACGCGCGCUACACUGACGGAGUCAACGAGUUGUCCUGCAUCGGAAGGUGUGGGUAAUCUUUUGAAACUUCGUCGUGCUGGGGAUAGAUCUUUGCAAUUUUCGAUCUUGAACGAGGAAUUCCUAGUAAGCGUGAUUCAUCAGAUCGCGUUGAUUACGUCCCUGCCCUUUGUACACACCGCCCGUCGCUACUACCGAUUGAAUGGUUUAGUGAGGCCUCGGGACUGGCGCGCUCGAGUAGCAAUACACCUGCGCGCCGGGAACUUGGUCAAACUUGAUCAUUUAGAGGAAGUAAANGUCGUAACA
rnacentral:rRNA from 1 species